AGUGGCACUCUGCCACUGGCACUGCCACAUCCAGCAGCAGAGUCAGUCGCAGUUGCUGGGAGUUAGUUACCCAGCGGCCGCUGCCGCUGUCAUAAACAAUCUCAUUUUGGUAAUCAAGAAAACCCAGUGAACAAAUUGUUGCAAUAAUUGCAAGCAAGUGUUAAAUGCAGUCUAGGGCCUUAAUAGCUAUCAUGUGCCACAGGCCACAAGGAGGCGACGUCUACAACUACAACUACAACAGCUAGAGCUCUGCUACCUCGGGGAUUUGUGACUGAGCUUCAGCUGUAAAUUACCCAUACGCCAUGUGCUGCGAGGGAGCAUUCAAAAUGUAUGAAAACUGUGACCAGACCAGCGUGAAAUUAGUAGUAAGCACUUUAAAUAGGUCGUUGCUGCUUAUUGUUCAGCGAGUUCGAAAAAUGAAUUCAAAAGGGUGUUGUAUAAUUCAAGAGAAUUGAAAGCAAAAUUUUAUUUGAAUUAGAUUAAUAAACAUAUGUAUAUGUACAAAUUUUCCGGGAACAGGUAAUUUCUUAUUGAACUAUUUACUACAGAUUUUUAUAUCAUGCAAAAUAUUAUACAAUGAAAAAUA